rnacentral:rRNA from 1 species
AUUGAACGCUGGCGGCAUGCCUUACACAUGCAAGUCGAACGGCAGCACGGGUGCUUGCACCUGGUGGCGAGUGGCGAACGGGUGAGUAAUACAUCGGAACAUGUCCUGUAGUGGGGGAUAGCCCGGCGAAAGCCGGAUUAAUACCGCAUACGAUCCACGGAUGAAAGCGGGGGACCUUCGGGCCUCGCGCUAUAGGGUUGGCCGAUGGCUGAUUAGCUAGUUGGUGGGGUAAAGGCCUACCAAGGCGACGAUCAGUAGCUGGUCUGAGAGGACGACCAGCCACACUGGGACUGAGACACGGCCCAGACUCCUACGGGAGGCAGCAGUGGGGAAUUUUGGACAAUGGGCGUAAGCCUGAUCCAGCAAUGCCGCGUGUGUGAAGAAGGCCUUCGGGUUGUAAAGCACUUUUGUCCGGAAAGAAAUCCUUGACUCUAAUACAGUCGGGGGAUGACGGUACCGGAAGAAUAAGCACCGGCUAACUACGUG